rnacentral:rRNA from 1 species
AUUGAACGCUGGCGGCAUGCCUUACACAUGCAAGUCGAACGGUAACAGGUCUUCGGAUGCUGACGAGUGGCGAACGGGUGAGUAAUGCAUCGGAACGUGCCCAGUAGUGGGGGAUAGCCCGGCGAAAGCCGGAUUAAUACCGCAUACGACCUGAGUGUGAAAGGGGGGGAUCGCAAGACCUCUCGCUAUUGGAGCGGCCGAUGUCAGAUUAGCUAGUUGGUGGGGUAAAGGCCUACCAAGGCAACGAUCUGUAGUUGGUCUGAGAGGACGACCAGCCACACUGGGACUGAGACACGGCCCAGACUCCUACGGGAGGCAGUAGUGGGGAAUUUUGGACAAUGGGCGCAAGCCUGAUCCAGCAAUGCCGCGUGCAGGAAGAAGGCCUUCGGGUUGUAAACUGCUUUUGUCAGGGAAGAAAUCUUCUGGGUUAAUACCCCGGGAGGAUGACGGUACCUGAAGAAUAAGCACCGGCUAACUACGUGCCAGCCGCCGCCGUAACAC